ACACUUACCUGACAGGGGAGACGCCACGCUCACAAGCGUAGUUUUCGGGGCGAGGCUUAUGCAUUGCACUCCAGAUGUGCUGACCCCUGCGAUUUCCCAAGCAUGGGAAACUCGGCUGCAUCAUUCAUGGUAGUGGCAGACUGUGUUGGUGCUCUUCCCUG